AGUGAACGCUGGCGGUAGGCCUAACACAUGCAAGUCGAACGGCAGCACAGUAAGAGCUUGCUCUUACGGGUGGCGAGUGGCGGACGGGUGUGGAAUACAUCGGAAUCUACUUUUUCGUGGGGGAUAGCGUAGGGAAACUUACGCUAAUACCGCAUACGACCUACGGGUGAAAGCAGGGGAUCUUCGGACCUUGCGCGAUUGAAUGAGCCGAUGUCGGAUUAGCUAGUUGGCGGGGUAAAGGCCCACCAAGGCGACGAUCCGUAGCUGGUCUGAGAGGAUGAUCAGCCACACUGGAACUGAGACACGGUCCAGACUCCUACGGGAGGCAGCAGUGGGGAAUAUUGGACAAUGGGCGCAAGCCUGAUCCAGCCAUACCGCGUGGGUGAAGAAGGCCUUCGGGUUGUAAAGCCCUUUUGUUGGGAAAGAAAAGCAGCAGGUUAAUACCCCGCUGUUCUGACGGUACCCAAAGAAUAAGCACCGGCUAACUUCGUG
rnacentral:rRNA from 1 species